UAGCUCAGUUGGUAAAGAAUCUGCCUGUAAUGCAGGAGAUCCUGGUUCGAUUCCUGG
rnacentral:tRNA from 1 species